UGAUUAACAUAUAUUUUAAAUCUUUAAUAUGAAAUUAAACAAACAUAGAAAAAUACAAUUGCACGAGUCCACUUUCUAUUUCUAUUAAUAUCUAUAUUUAUGUUUAUAUCGCUUAUUUACCAUCGGAGGUUUUAACUCAAUAGUCAAUUAGAUGGUGACUUAGACUAAAAUACACACGAAACGAAGUUACAUAUUCUCAAGCCCUUGUCCUGUAAAUUGUUUAUUUUACACUUUUUAUACUUUGGAUAAAUGUUUAUUAAAUAGUGGUCAUACUUUGGAAUCAAGAAAUGUAUCUCCUUUGCGCAUAGCUCUUAUUUUUUGCCCGGUUUUGCCUUUAACCAAAUGUAGAACAACACAGAUAAAAGGAAUGAGACCAGUGAAUGAGGGAAAUGCAUUGCUUUACUUAAAUAAUUUAUAAAUUUCAACUUGAAGAGAAAUAUUACGAAUAUGAAUAAUUUAUUGAACAUAUCAUCGGCCAUACAGGGCAUGUUAUAUACAAUAAUUGUAAACAGACAGUCAAGAAAAAAGUAAAAUAAUGAAAAUGACAAUAUAAAGUUAACUGCAGCAGUUGUCUAAAUACUGUAAAACGUUUAUAAUAAAUCAACGCUACAGGUUUUGCAUGUUUCUUCAUGUUAUCAUGAAAUAAACCAAGCAUUAGCAGAUUAUAUUAUGAACUCAUGUGAGGAAUAUUGACAAAUUGACAAUUAUCAACCGAAAACAGAAAUGAACCCUGAAUAUUUCAUGGAGGUCAGUAAUGUAAGAGAUAACUUUUAUUGGUAUAUAUUGAUACAUAUUGUGAACAAAAUAUCAAAAGAGUAAUAACUAGUUACAAGAAAUAACUAGAAAUUUAACUGUAACUAUGUUAGGUUAGAUAUCUUUUGUUUAACCAUUAAUCUUAUACCGAAAAUCGCUUAAUAUAUUGCAUCAGAAACCGAAAAUGACAAAGAAUACCUAGCAAAAUAUAGAAAAAAAUGAUAUAUAGUUGUAUAUGGAACAAUUAACUAGAAAAAGUUAAAAUAGUUAUAAUAAGUAAAAAUUACCAUGCUGAUGGGCUCAAAAUGAUAGACAGAGAUAUAAAUAUUAAUUGGGUAAAAAACUCAUUGAUAACGAAGACCAAUUACCCAAUUGGAGAUCAUACCAACAUUUGAUUUUGAUAAAAUUGGACAAGCAUUCCUUAUAAUUAAAAUGAACUUCAACAAUAUCACUGGUAUUAAAGAGAUAAUCGUAACUGGAAUUACGACUAUCCCAAUAUGGCGACGGCAGAUAUAGGUAAAAUCUUUAGUCAUUUUUCUUAAUUGUAGCAUAUUUUUGUCAAUAGUUACUCAGCUGCUAGGUUUUUCUAUACCAUUACAUAAUAUUUGAAUCGUAACGGUGCACUGGAAUUGUCUAAGCGCUUUGAAAAUUGCCGUUGAAAAAAAUAGGAUUUCAAAAAUGUUUAUUCGCGAAAACAACACAAUCAAGAGACAUAAAGUCCUGCACUAUAUCUUUAACUAUAUACUAGACAAUAAUUCAAAAAGUUAAGAUGGAAAUUUCUACAUUACAUUUUACAAACCAAACCAUUACUUUUCUCUUGGAAAUAAUUAAAAUUCCACUAUGCAAUAUAUGUAAUGUCAUCGAAGAUAAUGAACAUUAUUUUUGGACAUUCAAAUUUUGAAAUCAUUUUUUUUAAUAGCAUUUGCAAUUAUAGGCAAACAAUCAUCAAUAGCGCUUAAGAAAAAAAAAAUAAAAAAUA
rnacentral:lncRNA from 1 species